rnacentral:rRNA from 1 species
AUACGGAGGGUGCAAGCGUUGUUCGGAAUCACUGGGCGUAAAGGGCGCGCAGGCGGUUUGGUAAGUCAGAUGUGAAAGCCCACGGUUCACCCGUGGAAGUGCAUUUGAAACUGUCAGGCUUGAGUACUAGAGGGGAAAGUGGAAUUCCCGGUGUAGAGGUGAAAUUCGUAGAUAUCGGGAGGAAUACCGGUGGCGAAGGCGACUUUCUGGCUAGAUACUGACGCUGAGGCGCGAAAGCGUGGGGAGCAAACAGGAUUAGAAACCCCGGUAGUCC